GCGUUGCCCGGAUUUAUUGGGCGUAAAGGGCGCGCAGGUGGCUCGACACGUCCGUUGUGAAAUCGCCUGGCUCAACUGGGCGGGGUCAGCGGAUACGGUUGGGCUUGAGCAAGCUAGGGGGCAAUGGAAUUCCCGGUGUAGUGGUGGAAUGCGUAGAUAUCGGGAGGAACACCAGUGGCGAAGGCGGUUGCCUGGAGCUUUGCUGACGCUGAGGCGCGAAAGCGUG
rnacentral:rRNA from 1 species